rnacentral:lncRNA from 10 species
CGGAUGUCUCCUAGAGAGAAAGGGAUGGGAGAGUCCUCUGUGGAGUGGCUUCUGUUCCCUACAUCCCAGAGAGGCUCAGCUUUUCUGGCCGAUGGAGUGCAGUUUUAUUUGUUUGAGAAUAUGUUUUGUUUUCUUCCUUUUUCUCGUUCUUGCUUACCCUCAAAACAUGGGAAGAAAAGCUGUCUGACUCAAACAGCCAGCAGUCUGGUCCGGGCCCCCUAAGAUGGAGAGGCGCCAUUUCCCAGCAGGCCAAGAAAUGCCCCGGGAGCUCCAAGGGUUCUGUGGGUCCCGGGAUGAGAGGCUGACACAGCCAAGAAGACCCAGGGUGAGGCUGAGCGGAGGCUGAGGCGGCAUGCCUGGCCGCCCACACUGCCAUCCGUCCUAGCGCUCUGUGCAGAGCACGGCUGAAAACUCCCCAGGUAUCUUUGGAAAUGAAGAACACUGGGUUGGCACCCGGCAAUUUGGGACAGCAGCUUUUCUGGAGCGCACAGCUUGGGAAUAAGCCUGAAGAAAUCUUUCAUUCCUAGAGCGUUGGUGGAUAAAUGGUACUUAUUUGUUUAACCUCAAAUCAAGCCGCAGCCCCCAUUUCUGGGGCUGCUUUGCGAGGGUUGUUUUAAAAUAGCUGAACAAGCUGAAAAUCACGGGUCUAGGUUGCUGGAAUGGCUUUGCAGAGAGCAGCCGGGCUUAGGAAGUUCUUUAAUUUUCCAUAGAAUGUGACUGGCAGUGGUUGGGGGUUGGGGUCGGGGGUAGGGGGAGGGAGGUGAGCUGUCGGAGAGGAACAAAGCCUGGGCCCUUCUUCUAGAAGGGUCCGUAUUGGCUGAACAAUCUCUGCAGUGGAUUCAACCUGGUCUGGUCCCCUUGGGGGUUUGGGGUGGGAUGUUAUCUUGGAGGACUCCUUCCUGAGGUCUGCUGCAGGUGGCUUUGAAUUCAGCAGAGUGAAGUUCCUCGGUUAUUCCUGUCUGACUGGGGUCAAUUUCCUCUUUUAUUAACGGAACAGCUCUUUCCUCAGGAGAACCUAUUUCAUGGAUUUAGGUAGGACUGACUCGGUAGUGUACAUAACUGUUUAAUGGCCAGCUGGGGGCAGGCAGAGGGGACAGGGAGGAAAGCCUUGAUUUGUAGCAUUUGCCAAUUUCCAUGGUGUAAAUACUCCCCCACUACCAGCUUCAAGCUACAGACAUAACAUCACUGAGACGUCACUGACCUUGGACUCGGGAACAGAUGAGCACACCCAGCUCUCACAAACACAUCCCCGGUGCUGAUUUUACCCCAUCCAGGGCUGGGCACAUGACCCAAAGCUGCCCUAUGGGAGUUCCUCAGGGCCAUCAGAGGAGACUGCUCCUUUUCUUAGGCAUUGCUAAAUAGAAUGUUAGUUGGGGACUGCCAGCAGCCAUCUUGCCAGCUCUAGAGAGAGAAUUUGGUUGAGAGGGGGAGAAAGGGCACCCAUGACAUCCUCUGAACCCCUGAAGCCAGCCAUACCUGAAGCUGGUGUAUUCCUGGACUUUCCAACUACACACAUCUCUAGCCCCUCUUCUUUGCCUAAGUAGUGUGGGCUGAGUUUCUGCCACCUGCCAAUAAAAUGCCAAGAAUAAAAAAAAUGGGUCACCCAUUCAAGGAAGCCAAUCUAAUAGAUCUGGCUUUAUCUUGAUUGUGGUGGUUUCCCAGGCAUAUGCAACUGGUAACAUUCACUAAGUUGUACACUUUCCGUUACUGCAGCUUCUUGUAAGUAAAUUCUAGCUCAAUAAAACUGUUAAACAUAUAAAAAACA